AACUGGGAAAGUGUUAAGAUAUCUCAGCAACCCGAAUCCUUUCUUCUUGGUCUUCUUAUCCAGCUCAUCACCAACCUCCUCUGAUUUCUU